UACAAAUGGCCCAUUUUCUCUUUUAAACCUGGAAGGAGCAGUGGUAGAGUGGUACAUUUUGAAGCAUGUUGUGAUAUUGAACAUUUUGAACCAUGCCUUUUAUGUCAUCAGAGGGAGCCCCUCCCACCCCAAGGACUAACUGCCACUCUGGGCCAGAGUGAAGAAGGGGGCCAGGAAGAUAUUAUUAUUAUUAUUAUUAUUAUUAUUAUUAUUAUUAUUAUUAUUAUUAUUAUAUUUUAUUAUGACACAGCAAACAAGAUAUGCUGGAUUUCAUAUCACAAAAUCACAAGUCGAACACUUCCCAAGUGUCUAGGACUGUGUGAUGUAUUUUCGGAUGAUGCGUGCAGAUCCCAGCAUAAUUAUUAUUAUUAUUACAGUAGAGUCUCACUUAUCCAACACUCGCUUAUCCAACGUUCUGGAUUAUCCAACAUAUUUUUGUAGUCAAUGUUUUCAAUAUAUCAUGAUAUUUUGUUAUGAAUAAAAUAAAUACAGUAAUUACUACAUAGCAUUACUGCAUAUUGAACUACCUUUCCUGCCAAAUUUGUUGUCUAACAUGAUGUUUUGGUGCUUCAUUUGUAAAAUCAUAACCUUAUUUGAUGUUUAACAGGCUUUUCCUUAAUUUCUCCUUAUUAUCCAACAUAUUCGCUUAUCCAACAUUCUGCCGGCCCGUUUAUGUUGGUAAGUGAGACUCUACUGUAUUAUUAUUAUUACAGGGACUCGAGGCGGCUUACAUGGGGCAAAGGCCCGACGUCACAAUUGAACAAUAAACAACAGCAUAAACACAAUUCACAGUAUAAAAAGAAAGGGAAGAAAAAGAUGUAGCCAGAAGGUACACUGAGUUCUUCUCUCCAGCAUAUUGCUGCCAUGUCUAAAUAUCACAAUUUGAAGUGACUCCCUACAUUUGCCUAAUAAUAGACUUUAUUAAUAAAGUGGAAAGGGCUCACAAGUCCAACCCCUUACUAUACAGUAAUACAUAAAUACCCCUGAACCCCUGAAAUAUGCUCAUCCAACCUCUGUAUAAAAGGAAAGUCCAGCAUAUUUUAAGUCAAUCUUAAAACAUUAGCUCCUCCUAAUGUUUAGAUCAGUGGUUUCCAACCUGUGGUCCAUGGACCACCAGUGAUCCCCAGAACUAAAAUAUGGUCUGUGGCCUCACUGUUACUUCACCGUUGCAACAAGAGCGACUGGUCUCACGAAACCCUCUUAUAGUGCCGAAGCAGUGGGGGGGUGCGACAACAAGCCUCCUGACUGCUGCUUCUCCUCCUCCUCCCUCUCCCUGAGCGGAGCCCUUCCAUGUGGUGCCUGGAAGCCGCGGCACCUAGGGUUAUUUGGGGUGCUAAAUAUGGUUUUCUGUGGGCAAGCAGAUGGUGACUACUGGAUGGCAUAUUUUCUGUAUCAGAAACUAGAGCUGAUGUGGCCUAUCCAAUGCAAUUUAUGAGUCAGCACCCAAAUAACUAAACUGUUAGCAGACCUUUGGUUAUCUUCUCUGGAUCAUUCCUGAGCAGCCAAAACCGGACACAAUAUUCUAGGUGAGGUCUGACCAGAACAGAAUACAGAAUAAUAUUUCCCUUAAUGUAGACUCCAUGUAUUUGUUUUGAAGCCCAGAAUUGUACUGGUUUUUUGGCUGUCACAUCAUGAUAUUGUCAGCGCUGCUGUCUGCCAGUUUAGAAUCCAAGCUGAGGUGGAAUAUUAAUUAAUUUAGAGAUGUCACAAUAUUUUACACGAAGUAACGUUUGGAGGCAAAUUUGGAGAUUUUUUUUUUUGGGAAAAAAUUGAUUGGAGCCCAAAGACAGAUAUGCCAUGUUUCCUCCAUCAGCCUUCUGAAAUUCUUUGUUUAUUCAGUUC
rnacentral:lncRNA from 1 species